UACGGCGGGGGCAAGCGUUGUUCGGAAUUACUGGGCGUAAAGGGCGCGUAGGCGGCCUGCUAAGUCGGACGUGAAAUCCCCCGGCUCAACCGGGGAACUGCGUCCGAUACUGGUGGGCUCGAAUCCGGGAGAGGGAUGUGGAAUUCCAGGUGUAGCGGUGAAAUGCGUAGAUAUCUGGAGGAACACCGGUGGCGAAGGCGGCAUCCUGGACCGGUAUUGACGCUGAGGCGCGAAAGCCAGGGGAGCAAACGGG
rnacentral:rRNA from 1 species